rnacentral:rRNA from 1 species
CCUACGGGUGGCAGCAGUGAGGAAUAUUGGUCAAUGGCCGAGAGGCUGAACCAGCCAAGUCGCGUGAGGGAAGACGGCCCUACGGGUUGUAAACCUCUUUUGUCGGGGAGCAAAGCGAACCACGUGUGGUUCAUUGAGAGUACCCGAAGAAAAAGCAUCGGCUAACUCCGUGCCAGCAGCCGCGGUAAUACGUAGGGGGCAAGCGUUAUCCGGAUUUACUGGGUGUAAAGGGAGCGUAGACGGCAGCACCAGUCUGGAGUGAAAUCCCGGGGCUUAACCCCGGAACUGCGUUGGAAACUGUGCGGCUGGAGUGCAGGAGGGGUAAGCGGAAUUCCUAGUGUAGCGGUGAAAUGCGUAGAUAUUAGGAGGAACACCGGUGGCGAAGGCGGCUUACUGGACUGUAACUGACGUUGAGGCUCGAAAGCGUGGGGAGCAAACAGGAUUAGAUACCCCUGUAGUC